GAGUAUCAUGCCCUUCGGGGUAGAUCUCCAACCCCAUGUUAACCGACCCUGUUGCCUCGGGGGCGACCCGGACUCGUGCCGGGGCCCCCGAUGGACCUUCAAACACUGCAUCUUUGCGUCCGAGUCAAUAUUUGAAUAAAUCAAAACUUUCAACAACGGAUCUCUUGGUUCU
rnacentral:misc_RNA from 1 species